UACGGGGGGGGGCAAGCGUUGUUCGGAAUUACUGGGCGUAAAGCGUGCGCAGGCGGUUAUGUAAGACAGUUGUGAAAUCCCCGGGCUCAACCUGGGAAUUGCGAUGGAGACUGCAAGGCUAGAAUCUGGCAGAGGGGGGUAGAAUUCCACGUGUAGCAGUGAAAUGCGUAGAGAUGUGGAGGAACACCGAUGGCGAAGGCAGCCCCCUGGGUCAAGAUUGACGCUCAUGCACGAAAGCGUGGGGAGCAAACAGG
rnacentral:rRNA from 1 species